ACUCCUACGGGAGGCAGCAGUGGGGAAUAUUGCACAAUGGGCGCAAGCCUGAUGCAGCCAUGCCGCGUGUAUGAAGAAGGCCUUCGGGUUGUAAAGUACUUUCAGCAGUGAGGAAGGCAGGUACGUUAAUAGCGUGCUUGUUUGUACGUUAGCUGCAGAAGAAGCACCGGCUAACUCCCGUGCCAGCAGCCGCGGUAAUACGGAGGGUGCGAGCGUUAAUCGGAAUUACUGGGCGUAAAGCGCAUGCAGGUGGUUUGUUAAGUCAGAUGUGAAAGCCCGGGGCUCAACCUCGGAAUUGCAUUUGAAACUGGACAGACUAGAGUACUGUAGAGGGGGGUAGAAUUUCAGGUGUAGCGGUGAAAUGCGUAGAGAUCUGAAGGAUAACCGGUGGCGAAGGCGGACCCCCUGGGACAGAUACUGACACUCAGAUGCGAAAGCGU
rnacentral:rRNA from 1 species